rnacentral:tRNA from 1 species
UCUCUCGUAGCUUAGUGGUCAGAGCACUGGUGCGUAAAGCCAAAGGUCCCGAGUUCCGUUCCCGGCGGGGGUG